UGGGACUUGUCAGUCUUGGUCUCUGAUGGGCAUCCCUGGAAGGCAGAUUCUGGAUAAUCAAGGGUUCUUGUGCUGUAGCAGGAGGGCUUAAUGUAAUAUUUCAUGUACUUCUUAACUGAUAAGGCCAUGAGGCAUAGGUGAACAAGAAGUGACUUACCAAUGGCCCCAUAAAUGGGAGAAAGAAGCAACAGCAUCCUGAGUCUCUCAGACACUGUGGAUAGUGGCCCGGCAUCAUGGGAACAUAUCUGGACAGGUUGGGGAAGGCAUCCCAUACUGACAGGCACUGCCUACCUCAUUAUCCUCAUUCUCUGGCCC